UAUCUUGCCUUACCCCUGUAACUCUGUCUGAAUUGGAUGUGAAUACUCAGUCUGGACAUGAUGUAGUUGCACCUGGAGCAUAUGAUUCUAAAAAGAUUGAAGUGGUUAACACAACUGUUGGUCUUCCUAAAUCAACUGCCCGGCACUUGCAGCCAAGGAACAGUCGUAAUAUCCAGAAGAGGAGAAGCUCAUUGAGGUCAAUGAGAGGCAGACAUUCUUCCUUUGGCACACAGAAUGCCAGUGGUGUUUUGACUUCCGACAGGUUAAGGUUCAGACGUGAUGGCCUCCGAUUUUCCUCUCGGACACCUCAUUAUGAGCUUAGAAGUUCACGGCAGAAAACUUCCAUGCCAAGCGUCAAAGAACUAAAAUCUGCUUUGGUGCGAUUGACACAGAAUAUAGAGACAGCGAGUUGUUCGGCAAACAUAUUGGUUACCGAACCAGACAAGUGUUACAGAGAAGAAGGCGCCGUCAUUGGUAUGGAACUUUCUGCUGCAAAACAAUGGAUUCUAGCAGUGAAGAUAGGUGGUGUAAGGAGAUUUAAUCUUACUACUGAAAAAGUUAUGAGGCCAUGUAGUUCCAACCGUGUAACUCAUGACUUAAUAUGGGUUGGGGAUAGUGGUUGGAAGUUAGAGUUUCCAGAUAGGCAAGACUGGUUGAUUUUCAAGGAACUUUACAAAGGAUGUUCUGAUCGCAAUGUACAGCCCCCUGCGGUGAGCAUCAUUCCUGUUCCUGGUGUAAGUGAAGUAUCAGGCUAUGCAGAGAGCAAUCCUCCCGUCUUUG
rnacentral:misc_RNA from 1 species